GAUGAACGCUGGCGGCGUGCCUAAUACAUGCAAGUCGAGCGAACAGACGAGGAGCUUGCCCCUCUGACGUUAGCGGCGGACGGGUGAGUAACACGUGGAUAACCUACCUAUAAGACUGGGAUAACUUCGGGAAACCGGAGCUAAUACCGGAUAAUAUAUUGAACCGCAUGGUUCAAUAGUGAAAGACGGUUUUGCUGUCACUUAUAGAUGGAUCCGCGCCGCAUUAGCUAGUUGGUAAGGUAACGGCUUACCAAGGCAGCGAUGCGUAGCCGACCUGAGAGGGUGAUCGGCCACACUGGAACUGAGACACGGUCCAGACUCCUACGGGAGGCAGCAGUAGGGAAUCUUCCGCAAUGGGCGAAAGCCUGACGGAGCAACGCCGCGUGAGUGAUGAAGGUCUUCGGAUCGUAAAACUCUGUUAUUAGGGAAGAACAAAUGUGUAAGUAACUAUGCACGUCUUGACGGUACCUAAUCAGAAAGCCACGGCUAACUACGUG
rnacentral:rRNA from 1 species